rnacentral:lncRNA from 1 species
CCCCUUAAAAGUUAUACUUGGCUUUAACAUUUUUAGAUCUUGCAUUUUGUGAAAUAUUCAUUAUGCUAUCUGUCUCUUUUAAGUAAUACUUCCUUCUCUUCUCCUCUCUGAUACUUUUUAAUUAAUUUCUAUUCUGUUGCUUAUAGAAGUAUGAAGACAAGACUGUAAACACACAUUUUACAGACCACAAUUUGCAGGUAGAAUUAUUCUGUUACACUUAUUUGCCAUUACAAAAUACAUACCUCUCCUUGUUCUCCCCUCAAUCCUUCUGUUCCCUGUAAGCCCGGAUUUCCUUGUCUUCCUUUUUC